UGGGGAAUUUUGGACAAUGGGCGAAAGCCUGAUCCAGCAAUGCCGCGUGUGUGAAGAAGGCCUUCGGGUUGUAAAGCACUUUUGUCCGGGAAAGAAAUCCUUGGCUCUAAUACAGUCGGGGGAUGACGGUACCGGAAGAAUAAGCACCGGCUAACUACGUGCCAGCAGCCGCGGUAAUACGUAGGGUGCAAGCGUUAAUCGGAAUUACUGGGCGUAAAGCGUGCGCAGGCGGUUUGCUAAGACCGAUGUGAAAUCCCCGGGCUCAACCUGGGAACUGCAUUGGUGACUGGCAGGCUAGAGUAUGGCAGAGGGGGGUAGAAUUCCACGUGUAGCAGUGAAAUGCGUAGAGAUGUGGAGGAAUACCGAUGGCGAAGGCAGCCCCCUGGGCCAAUACUGACGCUCAUGCACGAAAGCGUGGGGGAGCAAACAGGAUUAGAUACCCUGGUAGUCCACGCCCUAAACGAUGUCAACUAGUUGUUGGGGAUUCAUUUCCUUAGUAACGUAGCUAACGCGUGAAGUUGACCGCCUGGGGAGUACGGUCGCAAAGAUUAAAACUUAAAUGAAUUGACGGGGUCAUAGCUGUUUCC
rnacentral:rRNA from 1 species